CUGGGAUUACAGGUGUGCUCCACUGCGCCCCGUCGAGUUUGCGUGUUUUAGGGAGAACCACAUACCUACUGUCAGGGGUGGGUUGUUUUGGUUUUUUUUUGGUGAAGGAAAAGGGUUAUACAAAAGGAUAUGUCUGGAAAAGUUAUGAAUACAUCUUGUUUAGGGUGACAUUUCAAUAUAAUAAUUACAAAUCGAUGUGCAUAAUAAACCGGGACCUUUCAAUGUUUGUUAGCCCAGCUUGCAACUAAUAAUACCGCAUGUCUUUUUACAUUUCAGAUUUUUUAGGGACACAGGCUUGUUUUUCUCACAAUUCGUUAGAGAUUUUCUUUUAUGUCACAAGAUAAAAAUUAAGAAAUAGAGGUUAACGCUGUAAAAGGUCAACUAAUUCCAAGUUUUAAAAAUUGGGCGUAAUCAGAAAUUCAGAUUCAUAAGAACUGAAUCCUCUUCAUUUUCUUGUCGGAACAACUCUUCCUAAUUUCCAUGGUUCUUGAGUGCCGGAAGGCCUGCUAAGAAAGAAAGGUUUCUGUCUGGUCUCUCCUCUAUCAAGUUCUCCACCAAGAAGAAAAGAGCAAGUUCUGACAAAGACCGCAUUUGAAAGGGUGUGACUGCUUUUACCAAAGUGGCCCACCCAUGGCUGCCCAUGGACCAAUUGGCACACACUUCCUCCCCUCUGAGGCCCAUAUAAAGCCCUGGA
rnacentral:lncRNA from 10 species